rnacentral:lncRNA from 1 species
AAAACUCAGGAUGUCCUCAUUCUUAAUAGCUGAGAAGUUUUCCAUUGUGUAAAUGAACCACAUUUUCUGUAUUCAUUCAUCCAAGAUUCACAGGGAGUUAAUUUUAAGAUUAAUUUUAUUUACUACUUUAAUGUAUUUAUCAAGUAUUUAUUUUCCACUACUAUCUUCAAUCUCUUGUAAUUUUAAGAACAAGUUUAUUGGAGUAGAUGUAUUCAUUCUCAUAUCAAGACAGGAGUCUUGGUGUCUCCAGAGAUAAAGUAAUUGUCCAGCUGGCAUUCUGCUAGGAGAUGACAAAGUUAAGAUUCAGUCCAGUCUAUUCCUCAUGUAAGCAGGCAUGCAAGUUCACCGUCAAUGAACAGACAUGUUGACUUAUGACCUCCAAAGGAAAUGUUGCCUUAAAUAAUGAAUGAAUAAAUCAGGACAUGAAAUCUAUCUAUGAAGCAAGGAAACACAGGUGAUAACACAGAUGUCUGAGUCAUAUAUUAUCAUGUGAAUUAGGCACUCCAAGAGAUGAUAUUUUUUGAUAUGAAUGCAUUUAAUAGUUGUGACACAGAGUUUUAGUACUUUAAAAAAAAACUGAUCUUGAUUUUAUUUCACUAAAGUCAUCUGGGAAAUACCAUGAAAAUUUGUUGCUAUGAAUUGUUCAAUUGCUUCCUUAUUUACGCUGUCUUAAUUCAGUUAGAAGUCCCCUUAAUCUAGGUAAUGGGCUAGUGCAAUCUACUGUCAUGGAAAUAGAAUAACAUCAUGUGGUAAGAUGAAACUGCCAGAUAAUGCAAACAUAACUAGCUUAGCAUGUAUUUAUACUCACGCAUAUUUUGUGAGUCAGAAUCUUAAUAGGAAUCUUCCUUGCCAUUUCAGAAUUAGAUAAUACCCCAAAGAGUUUAUGCAUAAAAAUGAGAAAUGUAAUAAACUUUAAAGGAAAAAUUUUAAUAGUAUAGUUAAAAAAACUAGUAGGAAAUUAAGGAAUUUUGUUUAAUAAUAUAUAAUCUGAUACAGUAUCCUUUGCUCUUUUUCUUCCUCUCUCAAAGUGCUUUCUCAAGUCCCUUUUGACAGUGAGAAAACUAUUCUGAGAGCUUCAGAAUUUGCAGCGAUUCAAUAAAUGUCUUUAAACUACUUUUAAACUGGUCUUUCUAGGUGCUGAGUAAUUGAUUCUGUCCAGGCAGGGGAAGAAUUACUUUCAGCUGUUUUCCAUACAAUUAAGGAGCUUUAAAAGACCAGUGAAUUUUUGUAGUUAGACAUUUGUGAGAAGGGCUGUUGAGUCUGCUGCAGCUUGAACCAGAGAGGAUCCAUACUGUUCUCUUGCUCAGGUUAUCCAGGGCGUUAAAGUAGCUCAUUUCAGAAUUUAAAUCUCAUCUUGAAAUGAAUAAUAAAAUACUGUUGCAAAGGACAUUGCCUCUGAGAACCAUAUUUCCUUUGUUAGUUUGCUUUGUUUAAUGGUCAUUUAAAAAACAAACAUAGGGCCAUGCGGAGUGGUGCAUGCCUUUAAUCCAACAUGUAGGAGGCAGAGACAGGUAGAUUUCUUUUAGUUCAAGACCAAGCUGGUCUACAUUGUGAGGUCCAGGAAAGCAGGAGCUACAGAAUGAGACCUUGUCUUGAAAAGG